UGAGUUUUGAUCUAGGUCAAGGCGUCCACAAAUCAGGUCGCCAAUCAGCAGAUGCUUGUUACUGAUGAAUGUUUUGUUUUUCCUUCAUGGAUAGGCCGAACCGGACACUGACGAGGUUUUUGCUCAAGUGACUUUACUUCCUGAAGAAAAGCAAGAUGAGACUACUUUCGAGAAGGAGCCAACUCCUGCUCCACCCCAGCGCCCUCUUGUGCAUUCUUUCUGUAAGACGCUGACUGCUUCUGAUACAAGCACCCAUGGUGGAUUUUCCGUAUUGAGACAGCAUGCUGACAAGUGCCUCCCACCCUUGGACAUGGGCCGUCAACCGCCUACUCAGGAGUUGGCAGCCAAGGAUUUUGCACGGGACGGAGUGGUGUUUCCGCCACAUUUUUCGCGGUAAUCACUGGUUCAUCAACAGUGCAUGCUAUUUCAAAUUUCAAGCUAAUAAUCAUGGGAUAAAAAAGCUGAAUCAUUCUCCAAAGUUUUGAAUUGUUUCCCUCUUUCAAAUUUCAAGGUUGAAUGUGCUGAUAUUUUAUCAGAUCGGAGUCGGGAUUCUUUAAAUUCGCUGAGUUCUGUGAGUGUGGGCUGAAAUAGAAUUGGCACAUCUUUGGGGAGUAAAAUGAACAGUGCAUGCUCAAUGUGCUGUUCUUCAUUAUUAGUUUUAAGUUGCUAUGAAUGGCUUUACUAAUUAUAAGCACAAUGUUUUAGCUUUGGUUUUAUUUGAAGUUAUUAUAUUUUUUGUUGUAGGUCAAUGAUAAUAAUGUUGUUGAUGAUUUAUAUUGCUAUGAAUGCCAGGUCAACCACGGAGCACCUGCUUCAAAGCGGCUGGGGUGUCUUUGUAACUUCCAAACGGCUCGUUGCAGGGGAUGCAUUUUUUUUUCUCGGAGGUGAAAAUGGCGAAUUUCAUGUUGGAGUGAGGCGUGCUAUGAGACAGCAAACUAAUGUUCCGUCCUCGGUCAUAUCCAGUCACAGCAUUCACCUUGAUGUCCUUGCUACAUCAUGGCAUGCUGUUUCAUCAGAAACCAUGUUUACUGUCUAUUACAAACCCAGGUUAUAGCAUUUUUGUACAGUACUGCCAUGCGAGGUAUUGAUUUAGGAUUAAGAACUGCACCUAUAGUUGCACCUGUAAAUGUGUUGUACAACUGGUGGCAUGAGUUCAAAAAGUGGAGACCUGGGGAAUUAAAGCGUCUCCAAAUCUUUAUGCUAGAAGAUGUUCCUAGGUUUGAAUCUGCUUCAUACUCCUCAUCAGAAAGCCACUUCCCAUUUUGCUGACAGUGAUUGUUUGUAUGUGGUGACUUGUGACCUCCAAUUUUCUCAUAGGUUUUUUUGUUU